UACGUAGGGGGCAAGCGUUUGUCCGGAUUUAUUGGGCGUAAAGAGCGUGUAGGCGGCUUUACAGGUCCGUUGUGAAAACUCGAGGCUCAACCUCGAGACGCCGGUGGAAACCGUAAGGCUAGAGUCCGGAAGAGGAGAGUGGAAUUCCUGGUGUAGCGGUGAAAUGCGCAGAUAUCAGGAAGAACACCUAUGGCGAAGGCAGCUCUCUGGGACGGUACUGACGCUGAGACGCGAAAGCGUGGGGAGCGAACAGG
rnacentral:rRNA from 1 species